rnacentral:rRNA from 1 species
GACGAACGCUGGCGGCGUGCUUAACACAUGCAAGUCGAGCGAUGAAUUUUCUUCGGAAAUGGAUUAGCGGCGAACGGGUGAGGAACACGUGAAGAAUCUGCCCUCCACUUUGGGAUAACACAGGGAAACCUGUGCUAAUACCGAAUAUUGAAACAUAAGUGGCAUCACUGAGUUUUGAAAAAAUUUCGGUGGAGGAUGACUUCGCGGCCUAUCAGCUAGUUGGUGAGGUAAUGGCUCACCAAGGCAACGACGGGUAGCCGGCCUGAGAGGGCGACCGGCCACACUGGGACUGAGACACGGCCAAGGCUCCUACGGGAGGCAGCAGUGGGGAAUAUUGGGCAAUGGAGGAAACUCUGACCCAGCGACGCCGCGUGCGGGAUGAAGGCCUUCGGGUUGUAAACCGCUUUCAGUAGGGAAGAAGCGAAAGUGACGGUACCUACAAAAGAAGCACCGGCUAACUAUGUGCCAGCCGCCGCCGUAA